GGAUUGGCUAAAAUCAGCAUGGGGCAGGGCCAAAUACCGUUUUGGCCAGUCAGGACCUCCUCAUAGAGAUGUAUUGAAUCAAUGCAUCUCUAUGAGGAAAGUUCAGCGUCUCCAUGCAGAGCGUGGAUGAAGAGCUCUGACUUAUCAUGUGAUAUUCAAAUAGUACAUGAGCUAAGCCAAUUCUCUAAUUAAUGAAUUGUUGACUAAUGAACUGAUGUCACACCACCUCAGGGCAGCAUUUCCAUGUAUCACAGCAUGAAUAAUUGAC